rnacentral:misc_RNA from 1 species
AGUAAAAAAAAAAAAAAAAAAAGGUCCGCAACUGGUAUAUAUAAAAGGAGCAGUAACAUUAUUGUUUAUUUCCUAAAUGGCAAGUUGGGAUGAUGAUAUACUCAUAUUCCUUCAAAUGAAUCAAUCCCAUUUUUUAACCUGAAUCCCUUGUUUGCUUACAUCUAUCUGCCUACCCCAUACAUUUCUCUACCCAUAACUCCCACAAAUUAAUUAACAUUAAACACAUUGACCAGGAGAUUCGAUUCUAUGGGCUCUACGAGAAAAAAAACAAAAA